AAUAGGGUAGUUCAGCGGUUAAGACGUCAGAUUACUGAUUAGAAGGUCACGAGUUCAAACCUCAGCGCUACAA